AGCCCAUGAGUUGGCCAUUUAAGUAAAAGUUUCUUAAACCUCACCCACGUUUCAUGGAUGUGUUCCCCCUCCUGUUGCUUGAAACCUUGAAUUUCGGCUCUAAGUUU